AGAUUUAUGAAUAAAGUAUAUUUUUACAAAAAAAGAACUUCUCCCAGGAUGAGGCUAUCUCAUUGCACUUCGGGUGUGCUGAUGCCUGCGAUGUCACCAAAUGCGGGAUACUCAACUGCAAAAUUUGUGGUAGUGAUGGACUGCAUUUGCGCUCUCCCCUA